rnacentral:rRNA from 1 species
CAGUUAUUGGGUAUCAAAACCUAAUAGCGAAAUUAACAUAACUUAUUAUGGGAUUAGUUUUUAGAUUAUUUAUAGUCUAUUAAUUCAAUCCCGGGGCGUUCUAUUUGGUUAUGUAUAAUAAUAUUUAUAUUAUUUAUACCUCUAACUAGAGCGUACCUUGAGCAUAUAUGCUGUGACCCGAAAGAUGGUGAACUAUACUUGAUCAGGUUGAAGUCAGGGGAAACCCUGAUGGAAGACCGAAACAGUUCUGACGUGCAAAUCGAUUGUCAGAAUUGAGUAUAGGGGCGAAAGACCAAUCGAACCAUCUAGUAGCUGGUUCCCUCCGAAGUUUCCCUCAGGAUAGCUGGUGCAUUUAGAAAUUAUGUAAAAUAAUCUUAUCUGGUAAAGCGAAUGAUUAGAGGCCUUAGGGUCGAAACGACCUUAACCUAUUCUCAAACUUUAAAUGGGUAAGAACCUCACCUUUCUUGGUAUGAAGGUUGUGGUUGUGAUAUAAUGUGCCCAGUGGGCCACUUUUGGUAAGCAGAACUGGCGCUGUGGGAUGAACCAAACGUAAUGUUACGGUGCCCAAAUUAACAACUCAUGCAGAUACCAUGAAAGGCGUUGGUUGCUUAAAACAGCA